UUGGCGCGGACUCUCCGGACUCGCGGCCGUGGUCAGUCUCUCGGUUCCGAUCAGAAGUGCCAGCAGAAGCCACACGGUUCGACGUCGUCGCCGAUUGCGCUCUCUUCUUGGUGUGGAAGAAAAACCAUCACAACACACACAGUCUGUGCGCUUGAUUUUUGAAUAGUGGAAAAUUGUGGGAUUUCCUUUUUGGAGGAAAAACUGUGACGGGGGAGUGAGUGUGAGAAUUAGCACCUGGAAUCCUGGAGGAGGAAAAAGCAUUGCGGGCGAUCACCACGGUCGAAGUCAGCGGAGUGUUAUCUGCGACUCGGAAACUGGUGUCUAUUGGUUAAAGGGUUGUGAUCGUCAUGAACGUGAUUCAGGAGUGAAAAAACGGGAUCGUCCUGAAGUGUGAUUAAUGGGGGAAGGCCGAAAAAGGUUGUAGUGACCCAUCGUCGGAAGUGCGGUGUGGCGCCGCGCCGAAGAAGAUGCCCGGAAGCUGUGAAGCCAUCGAGUGAAAUUGCUCAACAAAAGCGAAAAAGUAUUACGGUUAGUGAAAACGAAAUUGCUCAAAUGCGAAAACCCAAUCCUCCGCCGUUGCCAAUUCGAGAAACGAGGAAGAGUGGAUUGCGAUUGUGAACGAGUGCAAGAAAAAAAAAAUACUGCCCAGCUCUUCAGCGGGAGUGGUGAAAGGCUCUUGAAGAGUGAAAAGAGUAGCUGCCUGAAGAAAAAACGAAGAAUGAAUGUUUCAUAAAGAAGGAUUUCCUCUGCUGCCAGCCGACACGACGGAAGCCCGGGAUUACCGUCUUGUGAAUCUCCAAGGAAACGACAUCGGCUCUGUUGCGCGGCCUGCUUGGAUCACCUGCAAACACCGACGGCAGAUAUAAAAUCAACCACAGCCCCCAUAACUGUUAACGACAGGCAAAACAAGCGGAAUCUCGGAUUUCAACGCUGUCGUCGCCAUUGUUGCCGCAUAUCGCCCCCAGUAGAAAUGGCUCGAAAAAUCGCACUCAAAACCAAAUAACUCACCGGCAAGUCACCAUGUAGCCAGUGUGAAGACAAAAAAAAACAGCAGAUCCGCCAAACGUAACGGAACGGGACGAAAAAUGUGAACAAAACUCUUCGUAACACAUUCGGGCUCAUCCGUGCGACGGAUGUCAGGUUGGCAGAACGCGGGCCGUCGAGCAACCAAGCGAAAUUGAGCGAACGAACGAACGAACGACUGAAACCAGAAGAACCGCGGGCGGAACUAUAAAUGUAAAUUAAAUAAUUAAAAAUAAUUUCUCAUUUCGGGCCGAGAGAGUGAGUGGCGGAAAAAUAAGAAUCAAUUCGCGUCGCGACGGGAAAGUGAUUAGCGCGGUAGUGUGAUGAAAACAUUCCUCAAGGUGAGGCUAGAAAGCGAGGUGUGCCAAACGUCAAAACGCAGUUCAAUCGCAGUAUGCGCCGGGCAGAGGGGGUAUUGUUGUAGUUAUCCCCGAAUUUGUGAAAGGAAAAUCUCUUCUCCGAAGGUUGUGCUCUACAGUUUUACUCACUGUUUUAAUAUCUUUCCUCACGACUACAUUGUAAUAAGCUUUUAGCUAGAUAAGAGUAAAUAGAAAAGAAGUGUUUCUACACGUCGUACUCUCACAAGUAUAAAUAUAUAUAUAUUUCUGUGGUAGUUACUGUAUUAAUGGGAAGAAGAAGAGAAAAUGUUAAAUAGUUGUUACUCGGUAGCUCUCUUUCUAGUGUAAUUGUAUAGUAGAACAAAGAAACGUAUUUUCUAUCGCAAAAUUUUUAACCUGCUGUGAAACGUGUUGUAACCUGCUAGAAGCAGAUAUCUCGAGCGGUUGUGAACUCUGAGAAGAAAACCCAAACCUUUCCCACUAUCAAGCGCGGAGUGAAGUUUCAACUCUGACGCAACCCGAAACCGGCAGACAAGAAGAAGAAGAAGAAGAAAAACCAUCAAAGCAACAAAACCAAGUACACAUAUACAUUCAUAACGAGUACCGUCCUAUUAAAAAAAAGUAGAGGAAAUUUUAACCACACAAGAGCGAAGCAAAUACUCAAAAGUCUCGACGAGUCUCCGAAAAAUGUGCCAAAUUCGCGUCGCCACUUCCGUACUGGUGGCCGCCGUAUUCGUCGCGUCGAACAGCCAAGCUCAGCAAGCGAGGAGCACAACAGGUCAUGUCUGUGGCUACUGCGACCGUCACUAUUGUAACUGAGAGAUGAGUGAUGCCCUCAGUAGGCGGCAUAGUUGAACGACGCGAUUAAAUACUAGAACAAGCGGGGAAAGUGAUGGAGCAGCGUCCACCGUCGAAUGUGUUGUUGUCGUUGUCGUCGUUGUUACUGUUGCUGGUGCUGCCGCCGACAGGAGAAAUAUGAACCGCGCGCCGGAAGGUGCCAACAAGGUCGCUGCGAUAUCUCGGAGGGAUAGCAUCUAACGGGGGAAGGUGAGAAAAACGUAAUUAAUCUUGAUAAUUACCGGGUACAACUCGGUGAAACUCAGCUGAAUUACGGCAGCCAUCGACGAUAUUAAUGGGGUUCCUGUGAGUGUGGAAACAGAAGAAUUGUUGAUAAACAGAGUCCCAGACAAAAGCGCUGGACGCUCCCGUUGCAUCGGUAAUCGAAGAAGGCGUGCAGCGCGUGCAGAAUACAGUUGCCAAGCAACGCGGAACGUGUCAAAAGCCGUCGGCCUACUGAUUCUGAAGUGAAAAAGAGGUGAUGUGAAGCUGGGUGUGAAGGGUCUUGAUCGAACGACAAGUGAGCUAGUCAGCUGGUGUACCGAAGUGUGCGUGUGAUUAGAUCUUGUUCUACGGAGAACGAAGACCGUCGUCAAGUGGUUGUGGUUUGUGAACGACCCGGGAAAUCCGGUAGUGGACGAAUAGGUCAAGAGUACUCGUGGCUGAGACAUCGCCGUUGCUGGGAAGGUUGUUUGGCAGAAAAGUGUUUGAACGAGUGAGAAGGAACUGUGAAACAGGUUGGUACGCUGGCUAAACAUCAGACUGUAGCGAAACGACUGAAACUCUCAAUUGGUACGUAAACUCAUCGAUCCGCAAUUUCUGGCGACCCAGAUCUCAUCCACUCUAUUUCAAUCAACAAGGGUGAAGUGCUUCCAUCGCCUCUCAUUUUUCGAUUUAAUCCCUCCAUCAACCACUCGGCUAAUCCCUUGAAGUUCGUCGAUGGCAGGGCUACAGAUGUGUAUUCACCUCUCUCCACCUUCCCUAGUUCCCCAGUUCACUUGUGCCAAUUAAGCGCACCUUUUCCACCUGAGAUGUUGCUCGAGUAUGGCGGCGGUGAGAGUUUUAUCACGUUUCGUCACCACAGGUUGCCGUGCCGCCGCUGUCUUCAGGGGAGUGGAGAUCCUUUUGCGACGUCUUUGCCCCUGCCUACUCUAGAAGGGAUGGGAAAAAAGGAACCACGUCACAAUAGAGUGAAGUGGGGGAAAAUAUGAAGUUGGAGAAGGUUUCGAAAUGAAGUUAUAAAUUACACGGUUUCGCACAUUUUUGCAUUGCUCUAAUUUUCACUUUUUUUUUAUUGAUAUCGACUAGAAACUUAUAAUUCUGAAGUUUUUGGAGAGAGAUAUCGAACAAUUUUGAGGUUUUCCGAUCAUUCCCCUCUCAGAAUCGAACGAAACUUUGUGGACAUAAACAAUAGGUCUUUCUAAGCAACUUUGCAUGUUUUGUUUUUCAAAAUUUUUCAAGAGUAACAUUUGAAGAGGGCCUGAUUUUUUUUCAUAGAUUUUUUUCAAAUCGAUGUAGCUCAAAAAUGACAAGACCUACAAAAAAGUGUUGUAUGGCGGACUAUCGUGAAAUUCCAGGAAGUUUUUUAGAAAAAUAUCUUAAAAAUACAAAAUUAAUUCCUACACUUAAAAAUAAAGGUUUUAAAAAAUUAAAUCGAUAUUACAAAAAACCCUAUGUUUUUAAAUCGAUGAUUUUUUUUUCUGAAAAAAGGUAUUUCAAUUACCUACAUUUUCUCCAAACAAUGUUGCUGUGACAUAUAUAAGGGAAAAAAGUUUUUCUAACAAAAACUUUUUUCAUGUCCACAUUGAGUGAAUAUUUUUCAUCGUGUUUCGUGCCAACAUGGCCAUAUAUAGGUUCAUUAGCCUCUCCUCAACCAAUGAAACUUUAUGGAUGUUUAAAAAAUUGUUGAAGAAGCAAUUUUGCAUAAUCUAACAUUUAUCUAGACUACCAUUUGAAAAGGGCGUAUUAGGGUGGCCCACACUUAUAUGAAAAACAUAAAAUUCGAAAAAUGACAAGUCUUCCAAAAUUAACAUUAACAGUCGAAUCCUAAGGAAGUCCAGUUCUAAAUAAUGUUAAAGUUGUUUUAAUUUCCAACACACUCAUCCAUUUGUUUUAACCAUUCAUUAAUAAAUAUUACUUGAGCCAACAUAAUCAAGGUUUUUUCUAAUAUCAUUUUUAAUAGAAAUUCCUUUAAAAUUUCCAGAAAAUAAUGGCAGAAAUCUCGAACGAUUUUUUAUUAUAUUGAUACAGAAAAUGUAUGAGAAAAAAAAACAAGAUUAAUCCACCUAGUGGUAAUAAUGCCUUUCUCGUCCAAUAUGUACUUAUGAUCUUUCCAUCGACGUUAGCCAAAAUAUUCCUGAGUCCUGUGAACACUUCAUAUAGUAAAGCAACAAUUUUAACAAAGCCAUCAUCAAUUAGGGAAACUUAUUGAUGGUACAUAUUCCGAUGUUAUGAUCAACAGCAAAACAGAGCUAAACAAUAUCAGACCUCUCAGUUGACUGCUUGACCACCUUAUCCCUAGUCGUUCAUUGGGGUCAUUAUGACCCCAUUCCAGGCACUUCGGCAGCGGGGUGAGCGGCAGCUAAUGCAUGAAGAAGGUUGACUUCAUUCACAAUCACAGAUCACUUUGUGAUCUUCGACAAUUUUUUUUUCCAGCACACUUCAGGCUAUAUUAUGUUAUCAUUGGUCCUUACUAGAAAAAAUGCGGGAAAUGGUAAUUUUUCAUUCAAUUUUCAAUCGCAAUGAGAAGAGCGAGGGCUCAACCAGCCGUACCCAAAUUGUGAGCAGUAUCGAAAAUUACUUAGCAAAGCCAGGUCAAGAUCAAGAAAAGGAGAUUGAAGAUUGAAAAAACUUUAAUCGGUGUUGAUGUGAUCAAAUAAUAAUUUAACCAUAAAACGUUGAUCCAUCCUACUAUAUAUUUACACCGCAGGAAUCUGAAAUGGUGUGAUUUGAUGAGAUCGCUUUGGUUACGAUUUUGUUCUCUUGCAUAUAUGAAGACUUUGACCAUGUCUUCACUUAUAAUAGUUUCACCCAACGUUUAAAGGCUAUCAAAAAACCACGAUUUGAUUUGUCGCUUUUGUUCACUUUUAAAAUUCCGCUAUUUGAUGUGUAGCUUGCAUGGGUUUUGUUCAAUUUUGCGUUUGACUACUUCCGGCGGGACACCUGGAACCGAUUCCGGUUGUCUCAAAUAUGGUCUGAGACUAUGUUCUUGUCAACUGAUCAUCGGGUUACCUAAAAAGCCGAAUGCUAAUGUGAUCUGAGGUUAUUUUCUUGCUAACUGUUCGGCAAAUUUUUGAAUAAGCCGCGAUUUUAUGUGUCGCAUGCAUGAUUUUGGUCCACUUCUAUUUAAUCACUUCUAUUUAAUCACUAAAUACUAUUAGAACUAAGAUGUGGCCUGAGACUAUUUUCUUAUUGACCGUUCAUCAGAUUAUCAAAAACUUCUAUAUUUUACCACUUCCGGCGGGUUACUCGUCUCGUCACCAGUUCUAGAACACUACCGGUUCCCCAAAAUAUGGUGUGAGAUUAUUUGCUGGGUAACCGUUUAUCAUGUUACUGUAUAAGUCAUUGAUAUGUCGCAUGUAUCGGUUCUCUUUUACAUUUGACCAUUUCUGGCGGGACACCCGGAAUCGAUUCCGUUACACACUGAUAUGGCUUGCGUUUAUUUUCUUGCAACUGUUCAUCAUGUUACCUAAAAAGCCGUGAUUUUAGGUAUCGUUAACAUGGGUUUGUUUCAAUUUUAUAUUAAGCCGCUUUUCGAGGGAAAUCCGGAACUAGUUUCGGAACUACUGGCAGUCUUUUAUGUGAUCUUAGCCUACUUCCUUGAUAAGCGGUCAUCAAGUUGUCGCUUUGAUAUGUCGCAUGCAUGGAUUUGGUUCACUUCUAUAUUUGGCCUCUUUCGGCGGGACACCUGGAACCGGUUCUGGAACACUACCGGUUCAGAUAUGAUCUGAGACUAUUUUCUUGCCAGGUUUCAUUAGGUUAUCAAAAAAGCCGCGCUUUGAUAUGUCGCAUGCAUGGAUAUGGUUCGCUUUUAUAUUUGGCCACUUCCGACGGGACAUCCAGAACCGGUUUAAAUAUAGUCUGAAAC